ensembl:lncRNA
CCUUAAGGUGCGCAGCGGAGGUCGCUGCGCGCACCCGGCGCGUGUCCGGGCUCGCGGCGUAAGGAGCUGAGGGCAGGGUCCCGGUGGCCGUCACUUCGCAGUGCCUGCCUGGGGCAAGGUUUUCUGGUCGAGUGACCUGGGCUCUGCGGCGCCCGCGAGAAACCAGGAGGCGGUCGACCCGGGCUUAACUCCUCCGAGCGCUGUUGAUAAGCAGGGAGGGAGACCGAGGCUGGCUGCCGCCCCGAUCGCCGCGGCCGGGGAGGUGUAGACGCCCCGGGAGCCGCCGGCCCGAUGGGCUGGCUGCAACCAGGCCAGUCCCAUUCCGCGGGCAUCUCUCCCGCCGCCCCACCACUUCGCAUCCCCUCCUGGUUCAGGAUUUUGGGUUUGAGAGGCGGAUCCGGGCGCCGAAGGGAGGAUGCGCGGGGGACCCGCGGCCGAAGAGGGGUCUCCCGGGAUCGCUCGCCGCCGUGGCGCCCGGUGCCAGGCCUAGCGUGGUCAGAUUCCGGCUCCCCGGGCUUUGGCGGGAAGCUCGUUCACCUCCUCGUCCUCCUCUCGCUUUGUACCUGGAUGCGGCUGGCUGUUUAGAGUUGGGGUUGAACUUUUCCUGCACUUGCGGCGUCCUGGGGACCCCCGGUAGGGGGCGCCGAGAGCGAGCGCUGGAAGAGGGCCUGAGGAUGCUGGCUGGCUAGGAAGGCUUCCUCUGUGCCCGGUGAGUUGGUGGGGUCCGGGUGAGCAAAGCACAGGACCAGGCGGAUCUUGCCAUCAUUUCCUAGAGGCGGAGGGUGGCGCGAAAACAAAAGGAUUACCUCUCCUAGUGAGCUAAAAGAUCAGAAGCCUUGGAAUUAAAGGCUAGGCAAGGAUUCCAGAAUUUAGAGGACACAGUUGAAACUGUCCACUGCGUCUCUCUGUCUGCAAGCAGGGCCUGUUCUGAACCCUCAUGGACAAAUCGUGAUCUGUUACAUUCUUAAAGAG